AAUGGGCGAAAGCCUGACCCAGCCAUGCCGCGUGAAUGAUGAAGGCCUUAGGGUUGUAAAGUUCUUUCGCAGGUGAAGAUAAUGACGGUAACCUGAUAAGAAGCCCCGGCUAACUUCGUGCCAGCAGCCGCGGUAAUACGAAGGGGGCUAGCGUUGUUCGGAANUACUGGGCGUAAAGCGCAGGUAGGNGGNUNUACAAGCCAGAGGUGAAAUCCCGGAGCUCAACUUCUGAAUNGCCUUUGGAGCUGCAGAACUGGAGUAUCGGAGGGGAUGGUGGAAUUCCAAGUGUAGAGGUGAAAUUCGUAGAUAUUUGGAGGAACACCGGUGGCGAAGGCGGCCAUCUGGACGAUUACUGACGCUGAGAUGCGAAAGCGUGGGGAGCAAA
rnacentral:rRNA from 1 species